ACUCCUACGGGAGGCAGCAGUGGGGAAUAUUGCACAAUGGGCGAAAGCCUGAUGCAGCGACGCCGCGUGGGGGAUGACGGCCUUCGGGUUGUAAACCCCUUUCAGUAGGGAAGAAGCGAGAGUGACGGUACCUGCAGAAGAAGCGCCGGCUAACUACGUGCCAGCAGCCGCGGUAAUACGUAGGGCGCAAGCGUUGUCCGGAAUUAUUGGGCGUAAAGAGCUCGUAGGUGGCUUGUCGCGUCUGCCGUGAAAACCCGAGGCUCAACCUCGGGCGUGCGGUGGGUACGGGCAGGCUAGAGUGUGGUAGGGGAGACUGGAACUCCUGGUGUAGCGGUGAAAUGCGCAGAUAUCAGGAAGAACACCGAUGGCGAAGGCAGGUCUCUGGGCCAUUACUGACACUGAGGAGCGAAAGCAUGGGUAGCGAACAGGAUUAGAUACCCUGGUAGUCCAUGCCGUAAACGUUGGGCACUAGAUGUGGGGGACAUUCCACGUUUUCCGCGUCGUAGCUAACGCAUUAAGUGCCCCGCCUGGGGAGUACGGCCGCAAGGCUAAAACUGAAAGGAAUUGACGG
rnacentral:rRNA from 1 species